GUAAGACUGGAGGCUACAUUGAAGGUGAUGUAAGAAUAUCCGGAUUUCCAAAGAAUCAAGAAACAUUUGCCAGAGUUUCAGGAUAUUGUGAACAAACUGAUAUACACUCACCUCAAGUAACUAUCCACGAAUCUUUGUUAUUUUCGGCUUUCCUCCGGCUCCCAAAAGAAGUCAGAAAAGAAGAUAAGAUGGUUUUUGUGGAUGAAGUAAUGGAUCUGGUUGAGCUAGACAAUCUCAAGGAUGCAAUUGUAGGGCUACCAGGAGUUACUGGUUUGUCAACAGAACAAAGGAAAAGAUUGACUAUUGCAGUAGAGCUUGUUGCAAAUCCUUCAAUUAUUUUUAUGGAUGAACCGACUUCUGGUCUUGAUGCAAGAGCAGCAGCUAUUGUUAUGAGAACUGUGAGAAAC
rnacentral:misc_RNA from 1 species